UGCUACGACCAUGCCACUCAGCCUGAUCCCGUCUGAUCUCGAAAGCUAGGCAGGGUCGGCCAUGGUUAGUACUUAGAUAGGAGACCACCUAGGAAGACCAGGUGCUGUAGGUG
rnacentral:rRNA from 1 species